CCGGGCUGCUGUCCGCGCUGGCCCGGGUGCUGGCCCGGCCCGGGUCCUGGCCCGGGUCCUGGCCUGUCCGCCCGCGGAGCCGCCCGUGCGGCGCAGGCAGGAGCGGCGGCCGCUCGGAGUGUGAGGCCGGCAGCGAGCGGCAGAGGGCUCCGCGCCGCUGCAGCUGGGAGCCGCGGCCCUCCCGGCCUGCAGCGUCCCGGCAGAAGAACCACGUAGUAACGGCCGAGUGGAGAAGAUAGUUCAAGCAUUCUGUGAACAGCAGCUUGUGCUCUGAGUGUGAAAGUGCCUUCUCCACCCCAGACACCCCGAGGAAGGCUGUCGUUUCCCCCUGAGGUAUUUCUCAGGUAUUCUUACAGUUUAGUUCACAUCAAAACGAGAAGCUCACGAUACGUGCUAAAGCUCAUACUAACCAGCUGCUGCAAUGUUAAUAAAAAAAUGAUAUGCUGGGAAAGUACAUUAAUCUUGAGCACCACUACGUAACCGCCAAGAGGUGCGUCUUCCUGGAGAGACCAAAACGCUCUGUGUUGUGCUACAAGUGGAGAAGGUAGAAAGUUGGCAGCUCAUGCUGCUUGGGGAGCGGACCUGCUCCUGGCAGCUGUCGCGGGAGGGCUUUCUGAAAUGCUGUCAUGAACAAUGCCUCGGUCACAACUUUGCUUGGCACGUACUGCAGACUGGUUUUAACGUGUGGCCCGGCACUGCGGCAGGGGGAGUGUGACCAUUGCAGAGCACGGCAGCUUUAAGGCUCAGGAGAGCAGCCCUCAGUCCGGAAAGGAACAAAACCAGAGCUCAUGCUUUACAACACUGAUGGGUCUCCUACUGAGACCGCAUCUGGACUGGUGUGCUGAGUACAGCUUGCAGCAAAUGUUUUCAGAGUGCUACUGGUGCUGGUUGUUCUCCACCUGUAGCAUGAGCUGCCGUGUGUUUUGACUGUUCCAACAACAUAAACAGACAUUCAUUCUACUUAAAAGUGUCAGUAGACCUUCUUCCAAAAAUUUGUUUUCCUGUGACAUUUUUCCAUUUGUGUUUUUGAAAUAAAUGAAGGCAUUCGACCUUGUUUUAAAGUUAUUGGCAAAGGGAGUAACCAGAAAAGCUUCCCAGUAAUGAAAGAAUGGAAAUACAAAUCAAAGAAGUGAGGGGUUUUUUAUGUCUAGAAAUGAAGCUUCGGGAGUUUUAACUGCCAAAAAAGAAGAGGCACUGUGACCUUUCUGUCAGGACUUCUUGCUGUGAGCUGACCUGUGUGGGAGUGUAGAAGCAGAGGAGGAAGAGUGGGAAAUAUUCUUUGUGACCUGUAUUUAAAGUUACAGUUGUUUUUCCUAGACCCUAUGCGUUCUUCCAUCUCUUGCAUCAGCUAGUCAAUAUAAACGCGUAAUUUUGUGCAUAAGAAUUGCUUUACUUAGGGGUAGCACUGUAAGAACCCUGGUGAGCUUUUCAGGAAAUCCCUCCCUCCAGACAAACGUGCCAUUCAUACCUACAAUGAGCGCUACCAAUCUGUAAUAUUCCUGGGGAAACGCAGUAGGAACUUUCAGUGUCUGCUUUUUGGCAUUCCCAAAGGCAAAGCACAGGUUGAACAUAAGCAGAAAGGUUAUAAUCAACAUGAGAAUAUAGUCUAAAAGUACUUAGACUCUUGUUUCACCCUGUUAAGCAGCAUAUAAAUGAUAUUUAUAUCCAUCACUUUUUUCACUGUAAAGAUCAGAGUGUUUACGAAACGGGUUUUCACUUUAGAGCAGUCAGUAGGAUGUGGAGUAUGUUUUCCUCUUUGCUUUGAUGUUGUGUUUUUCUUUCACACUUUCUCUAGAAUUCAUAUAUUAGUAGGGAGCUUUAUUAAAUAUACAUGUGCCUGGCAAAGCUAUGUAGAAAGGUGUGAGGUUUUGAUCGCUUCCUCUGGUUUGGUUCCAUUUGUUCACAGAGGUUACUGGUUUGCACUGUGGAUCUAAUCUGACUUUUCUGUUAUUUUUAUUCUUUUAUAAAUUAGCUGCAUUUUUGUUAUGGCAUCAGCUGUUCUGUAACUGUUAAGGACACUUGGAAUAAAAUUAAAUGAAACCAGAUGUUCUUUGCUUUAAUAACAUUCACUUUAUGGAAUUUACUGUCUUACAGGAUUGCAUCUGUAUUUCUGUUAACCUUACAGUGUACAGUUGCUAGAAUAUCCUCUCCCUCAGAUAUAUGCAAUUUUACUUCUCUUCAACCUCACUUUAGGUUCAGGCAUACCCAUAUUUAUUUAGAAUUAUACCUGUAAUUGGAAGUACUGGUUAUGGUUCAGAUUUCCUGUCACUUCUUUCUUAUAAAACUCCAAUUUUAGUGGCUUGUAGCUUUGCAGUCAUUUGAAUGGAGCUGAACAAAACCGUAGGGGUGUAGGAUGAAUCUAAAAGCCCAGCUUUGCAUUUGUGAGUUCACAGGACACAUCUGUGAUGGCAGAUCUGGUUUUGUAACCUUUAUAAUAAUGAGGAAAUUAUACAUGGGAGCAACAGUAAAAGGAUAUUGUCAAGAUUGUCUCCUAGCUCAUUCACUUAACUACAUGCAGUGGAACAGCUGUGACAGAAAGCAUGAAUCACAGAAGGGAAAUGUUGUGGGUUUUGAACCAAUUUCCUAAUUUGGGGUGAUCUGGUUAAUGGCUUUUCAGUUCGUGGGGUUAGUGCUGGCUGACUGCAAGUGUGGUUCUGUAACCGGGCUGCUUGUCCUAACUUUCCACAUCCAGAUUCUUUAUUUGGUUGCAGAAUACAGAUACUGUCAAAUUAGGAAGUUUAAACAAUAUAUAUGUUCAUUGAUCCUGGUAUGUCUGACUUGUUGUGUUACCCUCGCUAGAAAAAUGCCAAAAGAGCGAGCGAGUGAGCAGGGGCAACAGGAGAGGACACACAGUCCUUGUUUCUAAAGAUGAACACAGCCUGGGGGGCAUCAAAAAGCUUCUGUUCAUAUAAAAAAAAUAUUAAGAGUUGUUCAGGGAGGGUGGGUUUUUCUACGCUUUGCUUUUCUCAGUGUUUUCUGCGCCUGCUUCUAUUCUGAAGUAAGCUGACUGCUGAUCUUUUAGGCAUGUUGUAAAGCCCCCAUCUCUGUUCCCAGGCUUCUGAGGAGGAAGAGGGCAGCUGAGGGAUGGGGGAAUAUUUGGGUUGGGAUUAGUACAUAGCAAAGAGAUUUAUUUUCCCUUUGCACAAAGAGGAAAUUACUAGGAUUGCUCAUGUUGUUGAUGUUAAUUUAUCUUUAUUAAUAUGUGUCUAGGUGCCUAGAGCUUUUUUUUGUUUCCAUAAAUUGAAAUAAACAAACACAGAUAAGAAAAAUAUUAAGCUUACUAUUGUAGCUACAUAUAGUGGGGUAUAUUUUCAAACGUUGCAAUUUGGACUUCCUCUUUUUCUAAGUGGAUUAUGAACUUACAUCUCCUUCGAUAAAUGAAUAAAACUGCAUGUUAUUAAGGACCAUUUGGAAAA